UACGUAGGUGGCAAGCGUUGUCCGGAUUUACUGGGCGUAAAGAGCGCGCAGGCGGUCGUUCAAGUCGCGUGUGAAAGCCCCCGGCUCAACUGGGGAGGGUCACGCGAUACUGAUCGACUCGAAGGCAGGAGAGGGUAGUGGAAUUCCCGGUGUAGUGGUGAAAUUCGUAGAUAUUGGGAGGAACACCGGUGGCGAAGGCGGCCAUCUGGGAGGGUACUGACACUCAGACGCGAAAGCGUGGGGAGCAAACAGG
rnacentral:rRNA from 1 species